rnacentral:tRNA from 1 species
GACUCAGUAGCUCAGUCGGUAGAGCAACUGCCUUUUAAGCCGUGGGUCCGGGGUUCGAGUCCCCGCUGGGUCACCA